CAGGGAAUCUUCGGCAAUGGACGGAAGUCUGACCGAGCAACGCCGCGUGAGUGAAGAAGGUUUUCGGAUCGUAAAGCUCUGUUGUUAGAGAAGAACGUUGGUAGGAGUGGAAAAUCUACCAAGUGACGGUAACUAACCAGAAAGGGACGGCUAACUACGUGCCAGCAGCCGCGGUAAUACGUAGGUCCCGAGCGUUGUCCGGAUUUAUUGGGCGUAAAGCGAGCGCAGGCGGUUCUUUAAGACUGAAGUUAAAGGCAGUGGCUUAACCAGUGUACGCUGUGGAAACUGGAGGACUUGAGUGCAGAAGGGGAGAGUGGAAUUCCAUGUGUAGCGGUGAAAUGCGUAGAUAUAUGGAGGAACACCGGUGGCGAAAGCGGCUCUCUGGUCUGUAACUGACGCUGAGGCUCGAAAGCGUGGGGAGCAAACAGG
rnacentral:rRNA from 1 species